AGUGUGAUGGCAUUCUUAAUUGUGACUGGGCAAGGGGACCUGGUCAAGCAGCAGUCUGAAUCCCACAGACGAUGCCCUGGACUGUGGUUGGGGCUGUGGGACUUCGAAGGAGGGCUCUCCUGUCUGCCACCAUCCUGGGUUGACAAUUCUACACAAGGAGUUUUUACAGAGUCAAGAGGAUCCUAUGAAUUUCCCACUGGGUUAAAAAUAUGACACAAUCCAAGGAGACAGCAUACCCAGUAGUGCCGUGUAGACUGUCGUAAACACCGUUUCACCAGGCUGCACAGAUGAUGCUGCUCUUCCCUUCACCUCCCAUCCUGUCGAAAAGGUUUUGUUAUUUUGUGCUCAUUUCAGAAGCUGAUGUGUAAAUGGUGUGUAUUUCUGUUGCCAUGACAACCCAGCAGCAAUUGGCCUGGGCUUCUUACCAGAGUACAAAUGUGCUCUUGACACGAUGCUUAUCAGACUUUGCCAGACAAUUUUCCCUCCUGGAUUCACACAAAAGGUUUCGAAGACUCCUAACUGCAUUUAGAGGAGAGACAGGCUGAAAUUUCGCACUUGGCUCACAUGAAUGAUGAAGCUCUAAAGCUCUGAUCCCCUGCUGAAGUCAUCGUGUUCUAGUCUAUCAUUUCAGUACUCUGGGGGCAACUCUGUAUAAUUAAAGAGGACCAAGUAUAAAUGUGGCAAAAAAAUCUUGCUGGCUACCAGAACUGGGCUUUUGUUGAUGUUUCAUGUGACACAUAACUGUCUCUGCAUUUAAUAAAAGGUCACUGUGACUGCCUAUGUUCUUAUUCA
rnacentral:lncRNA from 1 species